rnacentral:rRNA from 1 species
CACGUAGGGUGCGAGCGUUGUCCGGAAUUAUUGGGCGUAAAGAGCUCGUAGGCGGUGUGUCGCGUCGGCCGUGAAAACCUGCAGCUUAACUGUGGGCUUGCGGUCGAUACGGGCAUCACUGGAGUUCGGCAGGGGAGACUGGAAUUCCUGGUGUAGCGGUGAAAUGCGCAGAUAUCAGGAGGGAACACCGGUGGCGAAGGCGGGUCUCUGGGACGGUACUGACGACUGGAGACGCGAAAGCCGUGGGGAGCGAACAGG